rnacentral:piRNA from 1 species
UCUUCCAUGCCCUGUUUUAUA